rnacentral:tRNA from 1 species
UUCAUUCGGAAAGGGAGGAGAUAGGACGAAAAAAA